CCUACGGGAGGCAGCAGUGAGGGAUAUUGGUCAAUGGACGAGAGUCUGAACCAGCGACGUAGCGUGAGGGAUGACUGCCCUAUGGGUUGUAAACUUCUUUUAUAAGGGAAUAGAACGAGGCGCGUGUGCCUUUUUACAUGUACUUUAUGACUAAGGAUCGGCUAACUCCGUGCCAGCAGCCGCGGUAAUACGGAGGAUCCGAGCGUGAUCCGGAUUUAUUGGGUGUAAAGGGAGCGUAGAGGGUUUGUUAAGUCAGUUGUGAAAGGUUGCGGCUCAACCGUAAAAUUGCAAUUGAUACUGGCAGGCUGGAGUACAGUUGAGGUAGGCGGAAUUCGUGGUGUAGCGGUGAAAUGCUUAGAUAUCACGAAGAACCCCGAUUGCGAAGGCAGCUUACUAAACUGUGACUGACAUUGAUGCUCGAAAGUGUGGGUAUCAAACAGGAUUAGAUACCCUGGUAGUC
rnacentral:rRNA from 1 species